rnacentral:rRNA from 1 species
UUUGAACGCUGGCGGCAGGCCUAACACAUGCAAGUCGGGCGAGCGGCGGACGGGUGAGUAAUGUAUGGGGAUCUGCCUGAUGGCGGGGGAUAACUACUGGAAACGGUAGCUAAUACCGCAUACCAUCAGAUGAACCCAUAUGGGAUUAGCUAGUAGGUAAGGUAACGGCUUACCUAGGCGACGAUCCCUAGCUGGUCUGAGAGGAUGAUCAGCCACACUGGGACUGAGACACGGCCCAAACUCCUACGGGAGGCAGCAGUGAGGAAUAUUGGUCAAUGGGCGCUAGCCUGAACCAGCCAAGUAGCGUGAAGGAUGAAGGUCUAUGGGUCGUAAACUUCUUUUAUAUAAGAAUGUAUUAUAUGAAUAAGGAUCGGCUAACUCCGUGCCAGCAGCCGCGGUAAUAC